rnacentral:lncRNA from 1 species
AUUUUAUUUUUGGAAUUUUCCCUGGAGUUCGGUAUUUAUAUUAUUUAACUUACGAAUCAUACGUAAAACGUGUUUAGAAUAUGACACAUAUAUCAUUGUCAUCGUUAUCAAGAUUGACAUGGGAUAUUAUAUGAAACAAGUCAGUUAGUAGCUUUCUACGAUACAUACAGGGUGAGUUACUAUAAAAUAUAAACAAGGAGCUAGAGCGGUUUUAUUUAUAUUCUGGUACAUCUCAAGUUGGUAUCAUCAUUGUAUUGAAAUAAACCUAUAACCGCGUAAACUAAACGUCAAAUAAUCAUUCACUAACGGAUAUCAAAUUUCAACAUUUUAACAUUAAAGUUCAUCAAUUUGCCCAUUCAUUUUACCAUCUUUGUUUAUGGUUAGCGUCGUUUUCAAUUAGUAAAAUAUGUUCAUAAGACUUGCGCGUACGCUAUAUAUUUAUUUUUCUUCGUCGUCUUUCUUAGGUUUGUCAUCGUUUUGGUCAUGUCGUUUUCCAGGUACUUUAAUCUCUGGUGCAGGCAUAUACGUUGAUUCAUUGUUCUUUUGUCUUUUGUCCUUUUG